rnacentral:rRNA from 1 species
GGAUAACCUGCCCUUGGGACCGGAAUAACCCCGGGAAACUGGGGAUAAUACCGGAUAACGCAUAUCUGCUGGAAUGCUUUAUGCGUAAAAUGGAUUUGUCUGCCCAAGGAUGGGUCUGCGGCCUAUCAGGUAGUAGUGGGUGUAAUGUACCUACUAGCCUACGACGGGUACGGGUUGUGAGAGCAAGAGCCCGGAGAUGGAUUCUGAGACAUGAAUCCAGGCCCUACGGGGCGCAGCAGGCGCGAAAACUUUACAAUGCGGGAAACCGUGAUAAGGGGACACCGAGUGCCAGCAUCAUAUGUUGGCUGUCCAGAUGUGUAAAAUACAUCUGUUAGCAGGGGCCGGGCAAGACCGGUGCCAGCCGCCGCGGUAACACCGGCGGCCCGAGUGGUGAUCGUGAUUAUUGGGUCUAAAGGGUCCGUAGCCGGUUUGGUCAGUCCUCCGGGAAAUCUGACGGCUCAACCGUUAGGCUUUCGGUGGAUACUGCCAGACUUGGAACCGGGAGAGGUAAGAGGCACUACAGGGGUAGGAGUGAAAUCUUGUAAUCCCUGUGAGACCACCUGUGGCGAAGGCGUCUUACCAGAACGGGUUCGACGGUGAGGGACGAAAGCUGGGGGCACGAACCGGAUUAGAUACCCGGGUAGUCCCAGCCGUAAACGAUGCUCGCUAGGUGUCAGGCAUGGCGCGACCGUGUCUGGUGCCGCAGGGAAGCCGUGAAGCGAGCCACCUGGGAAGUACGGCCGCAAGGCUGAAACU